AUACGUAGGGACCAAGCGUUGUUCGGAUUUACUGGGCGUAAAGGGCGCGUAGGCGGUGCGGUAAGUCACUUGUGAAAUCUCUGAGCUUAACUCAGAACGGCCAAGUGAUACUGCAGUACUAGAGUGCGGAAGGGGCAAUCAGAAUUCUUGGUGUAGCGGUGAAAUGCGUAGAUAUCAAGAGGAAUACCUGAGGUGAAGACGGGUUGCUAGGCCGACACUGACGCUGAGGCGCGAAAGCCAGGGGAGCAAACGGGAUUAGAUACCCCGGUAGUCCUGGCCCUAAACGAUGAAUACUUGGUGUCUGGAGUCUUUAAUGCUCCGGGUGCCGUCGCUAACGUUUUAAGUAUUCCGCCUGGGGAGUACGCUCGCAAGAGUGAA
rnacentral:rRNA from 1 species